GACGAACGCUGGCGGCGUGCCUAAUACAUGCAAGUUGAGCGCUGAAGGUUGGUACUUGUACCAACUGGAUGAGCAGCGAACGGGUGAGUAACGCGUGGGGAAUCUGCCUUUGAGCGGGGGACAACAUUUGGAAACGAAUGCUAAUACCGCAUAAAAACUUUAAACACAAGUUUUAAGUUUGAAAGAUGCAAUUGCAUCACUCAAAGAUGAUCCCGCGUUGUAUUAGCUAGUUGGUGAGGUAAAGGCUCACCAAGGCGAUGAUACAUAGCCGACCUGAGAGGGGGAUCGGCCACAUUGGGACUGAGACACGGCCCAAACUCCUACGGGAGGCAGCAGUAGGGAAUCUUCGGCAAUGGACGAAAGUCUGACCGAGCAACGCCGCGUGAGUGAAGAAGGGUGUCGGAUCGUAAAACUCGGUUGGUAGAGAAGAACGUUGGUGAGAGUGGAAAGCUCAUCAAGUGACGGUAACUACACAGAAAGGGACGGCUAACUACGUG
rnacentral:rRNA from 1 species